rnacentral:rRNA from 1 species
GACAGAGGGUGCAAACGUUGUUCGGAAUUACUGGGCGUAAAGCGUGUGUAGGCGGUCAGAUAAGUCGGAUGUGAAAGCCCCGGGCUCAACCCGGGAAGUGCACUCGAUACUGUCUGACUUGAGUAUCGGAGAGGUUGGUGGAAUUCUCGGUGGAGAGGUGAAAUUCGUAGAUAUCGAGAGGAACACCGGUGGCGAAGGCGGCCAACUGGACGAAUACUGACGCUGAGACACGAAAGCGUGGGGAGCAAACAGG